GGCCUGAACUGAUCUUGGGUUCUGUCGCCUGUCUACCCCACUGGAAUGCAAACUCCACAGAGGCAGGGCUUUCUCUGUCCCCUGCCGCAUCCACAGUGCCGGGAACAGUGCCUGGCAUGGAGCAGGUGCAGUCGAAUGACCGACUCCAUGAAGUGAGGAAAUCAGGAAGACAGGCUUUGGAAUUCCCAGUGGGGAAGCACAGUUGGAGGGGCCGGCCUCGGGCACCACAGUGCGCAACGCUGAACACAGGGCUCCCAGGCAGAGACUGGGAGGUCCCGACACCUGGACCCACAGGUGCACCCGCAUCUCCCAUGCUUUUACCCUUUCUCCUCCACCCCAUUUAUAGAAGUGAUCAGAGGUGAAUGAGGAAAUAGUGGGGGAACUGACCCCCUGGAAAGUCUGAAUUUGAGUGAAAUAAUGGGGAGAAGUGAACCCCUGGAAAGUCUGAAUUCUGCUUCAUCAAAGCCCAACACGGGCCUGUUU
rnacentral:lncRNA from 10 species